GGCGGGGCGCCUCCAGGGCUAGAAGCUAGGGCAGUUUGUUUUACACCCUCGCCGGGCAGGGAAUGGGACCCUCACUGAUGUCCGGACCCUGGGCAGUGGAAGGUGACGAGGACUCCAAAGGUUGGGCUGAAAGAUGGAAGACUGGGAUGCCCCCGCCCCGCCUACAGCUGAGAAUAAAGAAGAAACUGAGGCAGAGAGCAGCUAAGUUACUUAUCAAGGCCACAGCUGGGUUGGUUCCACCUCAUCAUUACCUGCCUAGGAAACAACCAAGUCUAAGUCCUACAAAGUUUCACUGACUAUGGCUGGAAGCUGUCCUGGUGGCUGGGGAAUCCCUCAGCCCCUUUCCAGGGCAGAGGAGCUGGCUCAUUCCCCACUUCCAAGUGAGAGCUAUGGUAUCCACCACAGACCACAUUACUGCGUGGGAAAACAAGCAAACAUCCCCCAAAUCCAACUUCUCAGCUCUUGCACAAGCACUGCACCCUAAACCAUCCGAGGCUGGUAGGAAGAAACUGACAGCGUGCACUCUCCAGCUGAAGCCAAGGGAAAGUGGAGGGUCUGAGUUUGGAACAGCCAACAGUCACAGGAGAAAAAAAAAAAUUAUGUUUGUUUUCAUUGGCUACCCUGGGAGUACCCAAAACUUCCAGUUACCACAUCUCCACACUCAAUGGGAACAAAAGAGUGGGUCCUCCUAAGCCCCAGAGCCUCCAGCCCACCCUGGAGCGAUCCCACAAGCUGCACGGUGACGCCAGGCCCUGCGUCCAGCUCCCCAGCUACCUCAGCCUUCUCGGUUAGGGAAGCUUUCUUCGCUGGCCUCACGAACCCAAAUCCUCCUCUCCGCGCAACUCCGGGGCACCCUCGCUAUUGUUAUAAUUGUCACUUUCCCGGAAAAAGAAGGCUUCCUACCCAACUCAGAACCCUUCUUGGGCCCUUCCAAUCAGACCUCUCGAGAGCGCCAGCCCCGGUGACGCUCGGGGCCGGGCGUUGGGGCUGACCCCUCCUCACCUCCCCGCAGAUGGGCUUACCUCACCGGCUGCCCGGCCUUUCCUCCAGCUCCUCCCUCUCAGCGCUGCUCAAUGAGGCCUGCCCUGCCCUCACACAGACCGGGGCCUCGCGUGCCCACUCCCAGCCCCGCCGCCGGCAGAACCCAGCCUCACCAACUUCGGGCUCCCAGCCCGCCUAGCCCCCUCCCCAGCGCCCCCAUAAGGCCUGCCGGGGCCCGGCCCCCUUCUCCCCUCUCCAGCGGGCCGCUCUAACCCCAUCGCUGAGGCCCAGACCCGCCUCUGCUCUCAGGCCAGGCUGCUCUCCUCUCCCGGGCGCCUCCGCCCCUACCCUACAGGGCUCCAUCAGCCCGGUACCUGGGGCUCCGUCUCCCCCGUCGGGCCCAAGCCUGUGUCGAACAGACAAACAGCCGCAGCUCAACCAAACCCUCCAGCCCCUCCUCCUCCUCCUCGCCCUGGGGCGGGGGCCCCGGCCAAUAGCACGAUUACGCCUACCAUCAAGGGUGGGCUCUGUGUGCGCCGCUCCGCCAAUCCUCCGGAGAAAGGCGGGCCUGUUUCGGCGCUGUCACCAACGAGGACUAGCCUGGGACCGGACAGGCGUGUCCCCAGGCCAAUAGGAAGAGGGAAACCUUGAAUAUGGACAGGGUGAGGAGCCAUUGACAGGGAGCUCCCCGAGACAGGAGGCGGCACACUGUUGACAGGCGUACAGACCAACCAAUAAACUCUUGACACCCUCAUGA